rnacentral:misc_RNA from 1 species
AAUCUUCAACCUAAAAGCCUUUGCGGGUUUGUUAGGCUUGGACUUGGAGGCUUGUCGGCUCAUUAGUCGGCUCCUCUUAAAUGCAUUAGCUUGGUUCCUUGCGGAUCGGCUGUCGGUGUGAUAAUUGUCAACGCCGCGACCGUGAAGCGUUUGGCGAGCUUCUAACCGUCUCGUUAGAGACAGAUUAUUGAC